rnacentral:rRNA from 1 species
UUGAACGCUGGCGGCAGGCCUAACACAUGCAAGUCGAGCGGUAGCACAGAGAGCUUGCUCUCGGGUGACGAGCGGCGGACGGGUGAGUAAUGUCUGGGAAACUGCCUGAUGGAGGGGGAUAACUACUGGAAACGGUAGCUAAUACCGCAUAACGUCGCAAGACCAAAGUGGGGGACCUUCGGGCCUCAUGCCAUCAGAUGUGCCCAGAUGGGAUUAGCUAGUAGGUGGGGUAACGGCUCACCUAGGCGACGAUCCCUAGCUGGUCUGAGAGGAUGACCAGCCACACUGGGACUGAGACACGGUCCAGACUCCUACGGGAGGCAGCAGUGGGGAAUAUUGCACAAUGGGCGCAAGCCUGAUGCAGCCAUGCCGCGUGUGUGAAGAAGGCCUUCGGGUUGUAAAGCACUUUCAGCGGGGAGGAAGGCGAUAAGGUUAAUAACCUUGUCGAUUGACGUUACCCGCAGAAGAAGCACCGGCUAACUCCGUGCCAGCAGCCGCGGUAAUACGGAGGGUGCAAGCGUUAAUCGGAAUUACUGGGCGUAAAGCGCACGCAGGCGGUCUGUCAAGUCGGAUGUGAAAUCCCCGGGCUUAACCUGGGAACUGCAUUCGAAACUGGCAGGCUAGAGUCUUGUAGAGGGGGGUAGAAUUCCAGGUGUAGCGGUGAAAUGCGUAGAGAUCUGGAGGAAUACCGGUGGCGAAGGCGGCCCCCUGGACAAAGACUGACGCUCAGGUGCGAAAGCGUGGGGAGCAAACAGGAUUAGAUACCCUGGUAGUCCACGCCGUAAACGAUGUCGAUUUGGAGGUUGUGCCCUUGAGGCGUGGCUUCCGGAGCUAACGCGUUAAAUCGACCGCCUGGGGAGUACGGCCGCAAGGUUAAAACUCAAAUGAAUUGACGGGGGCCCGCACAAGCGGUGGAGCAUGUGGUUUAAUUCGAUGCAACGCGAAGAACCUUACCUGGUCUUGACAUCCACAGAACUUUCCAGAGAUGGAUUGGUGCCUUCGGGAACUGUGAGACAGGUGCUGCAUGGCUGUCGUCAGCUCGUGUUGUGAAAUGUUGGGUUAAGUCCCGCAACGAGCGCAACCCUUAUCCUUUGUUGCCAGCGGUUCGGCCGGGAACUCAAAGGAGACUGCCAGUGAUAAACUGGAGGAAGGUGGGGAUAACGUCAAGUCAUCAUGGCCCUUACGACCAGGGCUACACACGUGCUACAAUGGCAUAUACAAAGAGAAGCGACCUCGCGAGAGCAAGCGGACCUCAUAAAGUAUGUCGUAGUCCGGAUUGGAGUCUGCAACUCGACUCCAUGAAGUCGGAAUCGCUAGUAAUCGUAGAUCAGAAUGCUACGGUGAAUACGUUCCCGGGCCUUGUACACACCGCCCGUCACACCAUGGGAGUGGGUUGCAAAAGAAGUAGGUAGCUUAACCUUCGGGAGGGCGCUUACCACUUUGUGAUUCAUGACUGGGGUG